rnacentral:tRNA from 1 species
AUAAAGAUAAGCUAAUAAAGCUAAAGGGCUCAUACCCCUUUUAUAGAAGUGAAAUCUUCUUCUUUUUA